rnacentral:pre_miRNA from 1 species
AGGGGACUCGGCUGAAGCUUAUCGUGUUUAUCUGCAUUUUGUAUAGAUAUACCCGUAUAAGUUUCCGCUGAGCCCCC